GAGAGAGAGAGAGAGAGAGAGAGAGAGAGAGAGAGAGAGAGAGAGAGAGAGAAGAGAGAGAGAGAGAGAGAGAGUUAGACUGGAAUACUAUUGAUAGCAAUUUUUUUUUUCUAUUAAGUUUUUAACCCUUAAAUGAAAAAUUGUAAGAUUAGGAUGAUAUUAGUCCUUCAGGGUUGAGUGACACUUCUAAGGUUGAGUGGUCUCAACUGGAUUAUAAUAUUUAAUCCAAUGGUUAGAAAUGAUGAAAGUAAUUGAUCCAAAGGUUAAAAACUUGAUUGUAAAAAAGGUAUUUUGCUAUCAAUAGUAUUCAAGCCUAGCUUUCUCUCUCUCUCUAUAUAUAUAUAUAUAUAGAGAGAGAGAGAGAGAGAGAGAGUAGGACUACUAUACUCUUAUGAGUAUAGAGCCCUUCGUACUCAUAAGUUGUUUUCGAUGUUGGGCUUUUCGAAUCGACGAUCCAUACCGUUAAACAUGAUCUAGAGUAUUUAAAACUUUUAGAAAAUAAAUUUCGUAAUUUUUCAAAACCAUUAUAAAGUUAAUCAAGCGGGUAUAAAAUGAAUGGUUAAAAUCGAACGAUAUCCUAAAUAUGGAUGAUCGGAUCCUUCAAUUUAAGAUCGGAGUUAUUGAUCUUUAUUUAGGUAGUGAAUAGAAUUUUCUAUCAAAAAUUCAACCUAUUCCGAUUCUUUUUCACCGUUAAACUAGCAAAUAUCUUAUACCGGCCGUUAAAAAUUGUCAAUUUUGUGAGCUUUUGAUCGUAAGGUAAAUGAUAUCGAAAAAUUAUAAAAUUUGAUUUCUAGAAGUUUUAAAUGCUCUAGAUAAUAUUUAACGGUACGAUCGUCGAUUCGGAAGUUCUAUCAUCGAAAACAACUUAUGAGUACGAUCUAUAUAUAUAUGAUUUUUUUUCACCGUUAAACUAGCAAAUAUCUCAUACCGGCCGUUAAAAAUUGUCAAUUUUGUGAGCUUUUGAUCGUAAGGUAAAUGAUAUCAUUACAACAAAAACGGUCUAUAGUGACACUUUUAAAUAUAGGUACAGGUCAAAAAAAAUGCUGCUGACUAAAUUACCGACACUUUUAAAAAGUGUUGCUAUAUGUGGGGUCGCUAGGUAUAUAGUGACAGUUAAAAAGUGUCGCUAUCAGCUAAAAAGCGUGCUGCUAAUUUACCAACACUUAUUUAAGUAUUUAGCAACCGCCGGAACUCUACCUCGUUGCUGCGGUGGCGGAGGAGGAGGAGAGGGAAGGGCUCUUCAUCUAAAAUUUCAGUGGAUUGAGUGAGGAGAGAAGGGGAGAUGGUAAUCGAUUUUUCUUUUUUUUUUUCUGUUUGUAAUCAGGCUAAACGGGCUGGAUGGGGUGGGUUGAGUAGAGUAAUUUUUUUAUUUUUAGUUGGAUUGGGCUUUAUAUUUAGGCAUUAGUAUAUUUUAUAUAUAUAUAUAUAUAUACUAUAAGAAUUAUACUUAAUAUAGAGAGAUAAAAGAGAGAGACGAAAGAGAGAGAGAUCUAUGCUGGAAUACUAUUGAUGGCAAAUGAUCAUUUUUGCUAUCAAGAUUUUAACCCUUGGAUAAAAAAUUGUAGGGUUAUGAUGAUAUUAGUCCCUUAUAAUUGAGUGGUCCCCCUAGGGUUGAGUAAUCCCCACUGGAUUAUAAUAUUUAAUCAAAUGGUUAGAAAUAAUGAACGGAAUUGAUUUAAAGGCUAAAAACUUGAUAGCAAAAAAUAUCUUUUUCUAUCAAUAGUAUUCUAGCCCAACUCUCUCUCUCUCUCUCUCUCUCUCUCUCUAUA
rnacentral:lncRNA from 1 species